rnacentral:lncRNA from 1 species
GUCUUCUAAGGCUGCCUCGGCCUCCUCUGCUUUUAAUCUUCCGCGGAUAUUUCUCCGAUUUCUCCCAAACGCCCACAGAUCCUUGAGAAGCCACCGCGAGCAGCCACCGAUAAGGGAAGAAAGUAUGACUUUCUAUUUACCCAAUAUUGUGAAGAUGUUGGAAGAUCCGUGUGCCGCCCGGAGGCUGUUGUUUCUAGGGACACAAGUGUCCAGCCUAUAUUGUUACAAUUCUUUUUCCAGAACUGGCUUCUUCUUCGCCUCCGCUGAUGGUAAGUUUGUAAUUUUAAACAUUUAUGUCAUUACAUCUUUGAACGAGCCGCCAGCUAAGAAGGAUUUUCAUUGUGUUUCUUCUAACAAAACCAAUCUUUGUAUUUUUCUUUAGCUUUGAUCUCUGCACAUUUCCAGCUAAUCUUGUCUGGCUAAUUUUUACCAGAAGAAAAGAAAAAUUAGUGUUUUUUUUUUAACCCCAUGACUACAGCUAAAUAUUUAUGAUAUCAAUUAUACUUUAAUUACUGUGAGCUAAGGGAAACUCAGCUAUUUCAAGAUGGACUUGUUUUGUGCCAGCAUGUUGGUAAUGCCACAUAUGUGCAUAUCCUCCUUAUAAAAAUGAUGUAUUACCUAAUUUGUCCAGGACUAAAUGAUUAGCAGGCAAACUAUGGAUGUAGUUUGGUUUGAAAUAGGCCUAUUGUGGUUUUCUUGAUGGAUUACUUGGAUACAAACUACAGAAAAGCUGCCCUUGGUAUAAUGAAGGUGGAGAUUGACAUAACCGGGUUUAUAUUAAGUUAUGGCUGUUACUAAAUAGUGGAUCUUUUAUUUGCUGAUCAGAUCUAAACUUGUGUUCCAUGAUAGUAAUUCUCUGAGGCUCCUCAUUAGAUAAUCUUUGCAGAUCUAUCUUGUUUUUUCUCCAAAAAUGUAUAUUUGGGAGACAUUUUGUAAUUUGGGGCAUUUUUCUAAUUUUUUUUUUUUCUCUUUUUGCACACGGUGGGUGAUCUUUUUUGUUUUGCAUGGAUCUGUGCUGGUGGCGCUGUAUAGCUCUCAACAAUUUACGUCAGUUUCACUAAAAGAAAAAAGGAGGAAAAAAAAAAGAGGUGGGGCAAGAUUUGAUCUAUUAUCCUCUCCCUUUAUUUCCUAAAAGAAAGUUCAAUUUGGUCAGAGGAAAUUAUUCAGUUGUAUUAGUUUAAUGUUUUCUGUGAACUGUGAAGGGUGAGAACAGACACGUCGUCACAGCCCGUCCGGGGAGCAGCAGGGCCGAGCAUGCAGUUUGCAGUUGUGUUUUUUCUGAUCUGAUUAUCUCUAGAUCAGAAAAUUUUCAAUAGUAAGCUGUCAGCUUACCCUCUCUUUCCUCAGUAACAUUUUGCAUUUUCCUUCUAUUACAAUAUCAUCCAUCGCUAAUGUCUUCAAUUGAACAAAACGUUUUGCGUUUUAGCUCACUGAACGUUGUAAAAGUUGAAUUUCAUUUUGAACCUAGGAAUUUCUUAAAUAACUAUUCGAAGUUUCUCCUGGGAAUUUUCUAGGAGUUUGACAUAUAAGAAUGCCUACAUUGUUGUUUGUUUUAUUUUGAAGUGAUACUUCAGUUGGAUUUAUGUGCAUCCUUGCUUUAAAAAGAGCAAAUAUUUUGGAAUAGGAUAAUUUUUUUAAGAAUGUGGAUACAACUGCUUUUAACUUUAAAAAUAUUGGUAUUUGUAUAUCUAAAUGCAGGGUAAAUCUUUUCCAUCUUUGUUCUUAUUGGGAGUUAUCUGAUUAGAGAAUAUGGGAUUUAGGCCCAAAGCCUCCCAAGAACAAAAAUGUAUAUUAUGAUAUGACAUAGUUUUUACUGGUCUCUGUGAACAUUUUAGUUGUUUAUGAAGAUAGUAAGUAUGUCCUUAAUUGAAAAAGAAAGUGGGAGAAAUCAGUCAUUGUACCUAAAAACACAUCAUUUUGCCAAAUAAAACAAACAAAAAAACUGAAAUAGUAUCCUAAACCACCUUUUCAUGAUUGUAGAGAUGAUUUCUUGAGUAAAAAUUUCUGGAGUUAUUAUUAAGUGUUGUUAUUCACUUUGAAAUAUGUAAAUACUCAUUUCACUAAUCAUUAAAAUUUUGAAGUAAAAGAAUGUGUGAAAAUGACUAGGAAUAGUAUUUCCAAUUUUUGUGUCCCUAUAAUUUACUUAUCUGUGUAGGACCCUUUCCUUGAACUUCAAAAAUAACUAUAUAUUAUGCCUAUAUUUUGUUUAUACUCUGCUAUAAAAAUUUGAAAAUGUUCACUGUAACAUUUUAUCUCUUCAUAAAAUUUAAAUGCCGCCAUCAAGACUGGUUUUGACAUUAUAGAUUAUUUAUAGAAUGAAAUACUGCAGGUGUAAAUAUAUUAUCUAACCCCCUGAUUGUGCUGGAGUUUAGUUCCCCGAAGUUAACCUACUGAAUAAACUAUACUGCCCAAUAUGUUUAUUGCUAAAAUAUUCUGUUAUUCAUCUGGUGACGUUUUUCAUUUUAAUUUGUGAAAACUAAAAAUGUUUAUAUAAUGUAGCCCCUCUUUUAAAAACAGACUGAUGCUGUGAAGUCCAUAUGUAGCUAUGUAUGCAAUGUUCUUUGUUCUCCUAUAUCAUUGACUAUUACAUCAUUGAUUAUGAGUAACCACUAUAGUUACAUCUUCACUUUUUAAAAUCACCCAUAGAUAUUUAUGUUAAAGAUAUUCUUCUAUCUGUGACUCUUGCAUCACUAAAUAAGGAGGUUUAAAUCUAUGAGGCAAAAACAACUCAUUGUUUUAUAUUAUUCUCCAUUUUUAAAUCCACCUUGGGCUUCAUUUUAGCUCUUGAUUCUUUGGACGUUAAUUUUUUUUUUUUUUUUUUAUUGACAACAUUUUGUAGGCAUUUAGUUUGAGUUUGGUGAGAUUAUGAUUAGAAUGAUUAUAAUAAACUAUGUUUUAUCAGAAAAAAAUCUUUAUUUAUUAAAUUUGGUGUACAGGGAACUAACUCAGUUUUUCAUAGUAACAGUUGCUAGAUCAUGAACAAUAAAGAAUUAUUUUUUUAAUCUUGAAAUGUCAUUUCAGUCAACAAUUACACACUUAUGUUUUUCUUGCACACCUUUUUAUCAUAGAUAGUAGCAAGUAGCAAAAUUGACUAUGUUAAAAUAUCGUUAUCAUUUUUUUCACCCUGCCCAUCCCUCUGAGGGAGGGGGAGGGGUCAAUGAGUAGUGAAAUGGCCAAAAAACAGUUUGCAG